UUUUUUGUUUUCCUUCCAAGUGUUGCUGUUAACACAUUGAAUAUGUCGCUCUGUAUGGAAGUGGCUGUAUUCUGUUUGGCGCUUUACAAGCUUGUGUUUGAAAGACUACUUGUUAAUGUGUUAUAAUAAUCUUAUCUUUUAGACCCAAGGUAAUUCUUGUGUUUGUUUUUUAUGUGUGUUUUUUGUUUUUACUGUUUUUUACUUUAUAUAUAACAAAGUUUGCCAUUUUAACCCUUUGUAAGUGUGCAGUUCAGUGGCAUUAAUUAUUACAUUCACAGUGUUGUACAGCAAUUACCACUGUCUAUUUCCAAAAUUUUCCAUCACUCCAGACGGAAACUUUGUACUCAUUAAGAUAUAACCCCCCGUUUUCCCUUUUGCCCAGCUCUUGGUAACCUCUUAUGUACAUUUUCUCUCUAUGAAUUUGCUUAUUCUAGAUAUUUCACGUAAGUGGAGUCACACCACAUUUGUGUUUUGGUGCCUAGCUUAUUUCACAUAGCAUAAAUGUUUUCAAGGUUCAUCCAUGUUGCACCGUGUAUCAGAACUUCAUUUGUUUUCAUGGCUGAAUAAUACUGUUGUAUGAAUAUACAACAUUUGUUUAUCCAUUCAUCUGUUGAUGGACACUGGGUUUUUUCCCACCAUUUGGCUGUUGUGAGUAUUGCUAUGAACAUUGGUAUAUAAGCAUCUGGUUGAGCCCUUGUUUUCAAUUCUUGAGUUUAUAUACCUAGGAGUGGAAUUGUUGGGUAAUUUAGUGAUUUUAUGUUUAACUUUUUGAAGAACCACCAGUUUUUGAGUGACCACACCAUUUUACAUACCCAGUAGUAAUGGAUGAGGUCCAAUUUCUCCUCAUCCUCACUUUUUUUUUUCUUUCCCAUUACAUUCAUUUUAAUGGCCGUGAAGUGGUGUCUCAUUGUGGUCUUGAUUUGUAUUUCCCUAAUGACUAAGGACAUUGAGCACCUUUUUAUGUGUUUAUUGGCCAUUUCUGCUUUAGAGAAAUGUCUGUUCAUGUCUUUUGCCCAUUUUUAAAUUGGGUUGUAGCCUUUUUGUUAAGUUGGAGUUGUUCUUUAUGUAUUGUAGAUAUUAGACCCUUAUGAGGUAUAUGAUUUGUAAUUACUUUCUUCUGUGGAUUGUCUUCACUUUCUUAGUGGUAUCCUUUAUACAAGUUUUUAAUUUUAAUGAAGUCCAGUUUGUUUUUUCUUUUGUUGCUGCUGUUCUUGGUGGCAUAUUUAAGUUGCUGUUGGUAAAUCCAAAAUCAUGAAUAUUUUCCCAUUUUUUUUUACGAAUGUUACAGUUUUAGCACUUAUAUUUAGGGCCUUGACCCAUUUGAAUUAUUUUGUACAUAGUGUAAAGUGAGGGCUCAACCUCAUUCUUUUGCAUGUGAGUAUCUAGUUUUCCUGGGGCCACUUGUUGAGAAGACUGUCCUUUUUCUACUGGAUGGUCUUGGCACCCUUAUUGAAAAUCAGCUGACCGUAGGUGUGAGGGUUUAUUUGGGGACUCUCAAGUCCAUUCUCUUAGUCUACAUCUCUGUCCUUCUGCCAGUACCACAAUGUUUUAAUUACUUGUAGCUUUGUAAGUUUUGAAAUCAAGAACUGCGAGUCCUUCACCUUUGUUUUUCUUUUUUUUCAAGAUUGUUUUGGAUAUUCAAGGUCCCUUGAAAUUCCAUCUAAACUCGGGAUGGGAUUUUCUGUUUCUAGGGGAAAAAAGUUCCUUUGGGAUUGCAAUAGGAGUUGAAUCUGUGGAUUAUUUUGGGUAGUGAUGUAAUCCUAAUAACACUAUUAAGUGUUCCAAUCUAUGAACAAGGGAUAUCUUUAGUUUCUUGAUAUUAUUUGCAGUUAAAAGAAUAACUGGUAAUUUAGUUUUUCCUUUUCAGUUUUCCUAUCAAUACAGAAUGACUGAUAGAACUUUAGAUUUAAAAGAUCAGAGGACCACUUUUCAAACCCACUCCUUUCCAUCCAUUUCAACCUCAUUGCCUGGUAACCUGACAAACGCUGUCUGCAUCCCGUCCCAUUGAGCUGACUCUCCAGCGCUGCUUCAGAGCGACAGUUGCACACAUCUGCUUCCCUUCGCACGUGGGGGAACAGCCUCUUCAUAAUUUCCCAUCAAAUAUGUAUUCAUAACCAGGGUGGGCUCCUGAUCCCACAUUCCAUGUCAGGUUGCAGGCAGCAAGGACAGCACCGACCUCGGUGAGGGGGAAAGCCACAUCCCCCCAACGCACCCCAAGGGGCAGUUCCAGCAGAAGCAGAAGCUCAGGUCCCAGACUACUCCCGCCAUCACCACUGCCAGAUUGAUGUUUUGAGGCUGCAGAAGCUUCCAGGGCAAGCAGUCUGGGGCAGGACUGUGGCCAGCCUGUGCAAAGGAAUUCUUCCCAAGGCACCAGCUACCUCUGGUCCAAUGAGAGUCUCCCUUGGUCAUUUCACGCUAACGGGACCAAUAGCACUGAGACAGUGGGUCACCCUUGCAUUUCCCUCGGUGCCAUCUGCUGCCCAGACAGUUCCAGGGUUACUUACAAAGCAGGUGUGUCCAUGCGUCUGUUUAAAUAUGUAUACACACUCCCACUGAAGGAGUCUGUGUAAAUAAUCCCAUAUAGCAGAUAAGUUAAACAUAUGUCUGUUAAGUAUUGAGACUUUUUAAAAAUUACAUACAGUACAGGGUAAUGAAGAGAUGCCUGUGCAACUGAAUCUACCGUCUUCAUUUUGAUGUUGUGAAGGGUAAUAUGUUCACUAUAGGUUUAUUGAAUGAAUGACUCUCACUGUGGAGGGAACUGAGGUAGGAGGCCAGAGGCUUCCCCCCAUUACAGACACAAUUUUCCACGGCUAAUGCCCAGCGUAGUUAAAGCUCCCUGUGAUGAGUCCCACUCGCAUUAUUUGCAUGUCCAUUUUUGCCGGCAUUUUAAAAUGGAGAACUCCCAGACAGACACUGGGGGCCAUAUGCAACCCACUACAGCCUCACAUGUCCUGUGGAAGCCUAAUGAACUGUAAUUUCUCUUAUCCACGUCCCCAGCAAGUGUCUGUCGUGAGUGUCGUCGGCUCUGGCCCAGCACCCCAGCUCUGAUGUGAGGUCACACAUGGGGCCUUCCUGUGCUCAGACUUCGUACCACAGCCCUCCAGAGCUGCUCUCCACCCAGGGCGGCUCCCAGCCUCCGGAGGUGCCGGACCAGCAGUGGGUUCCCCACCAGUAGGACCAUGGCUCCUUUGAUUCUCUGCCAUUUCAGGGCUCCCAGGAACAGCGGGACUCUGGCUGUCUGAUUUCACAACUUCCCUACCUUGUUCUCAAAACUGGGAAAUGUCCGCAGCUCAUUUGGCAAGCAGGAAAGGUGGUGCAGAAGAUUCUUCCUAACAGCCUGGCCUUUUUUCUGAACCCAGCACUGGCAGCAGGGCUGGGUACAGAGGACAGAGCAACAGAUCUUUCCAUAAAUUCCUACUUGACCUUGUCACAAGGGCUGCCACUGGGAUUAAAAGGAGCGGUUCCAGAAUCCCAGCCUGAGUUCAGAUGCCACCCCGUCUCUUAUCAGCUGUGUGCCUCAGUUUCCUCGCGUAAAAUAGGGACUGACCUACCACCCACCUCACAGGGCUGAACACGUAGUCCACAUAAAGCUUAGCAGAAUGCCCAUUACAGCCACACACGAGCCCACAGUAUGUACCAGCUCUUAGUACUGUUGUUUUUACACUCCCAUUUAAGCAAAAAUACAACGUAAAAGCCACCCACUAUCAGCUCUAGCGACAACGGAAUGGUCAGAGUUAAACCUCUUAGAAGGCGGUGCUUGUUCCCCUUGCUUUACCCACAGGUCUGGGUGGCCAGCUGGGCCGCAUGGCUGAGAGAAUCACAUCUGGUUUGCAUAUCUGUACCAAGGAGGGGAAACGCGACAUUCUGUUGGGUGCAGACAAGAAGUAGACGCACGGCUUCAGUCUGUCACGCCUCGCGUGGCCAGCAUUUGACAUCCACCAUGAAGAAAACCUCACAGGUGCCAAUUAAUUCAGGACUUGGGGGGAGGCCUGAGGGAGGCAGCAGAUGCGAGCCAUCGCGGAAUCCAAGUGCCCCACUCAGAAGGCUUCAGCAGAGAUGCCACAUGUCUAGCCCGACAACUGGUGCAGGCGCUAACCAGACACCCCAACUGAUCUGCACUGCUCUCUGCUGCCUCUCAGAGCCGGAAACGCACUGCCCAGGCAGGAGGGACCAGCCCAGCUCCGCGGUGUCUGCUGUUUGCUGGGCCCCAGGGGAGGGUGAUGUGGGCAGCUGGCCCUGAGCGCCUGUCACUGAGAGUCUGGGGGGGAUGAGGAAGUGGGAAGGAUUUAUUUAUUCAUCUGGCCACAGUAGAUACCCUACGUACAUGAAAGGAACCCAUGGCCAGAAAUGGCAAAAGAAAGAAGGAAGCAUUUAUGAGGGCCUUCCAUGCGCUGUACACACAUACCCACCUUGCAAGAUGGACACUGUGAUCCUAUUUUAAAGAUGAAGUUGAGGCUCUUGGUGGGAAGUCAGGUUAUACCCAGUUUGCCACCCACAGGGGUGGGUUAAAUACUGGGUGGAAAACCACAUAGCUCUUUUGGAGAGCGAUACAUCAUUAACAUUUUCCCAUGUCUUUAAAUUAAAAUUAGGGGAGAAAAGCAGCAUGCCUGGAUGCUUCCGUUCUAACGAAAUAAUUACAUGUAUCAAAUAAAAGGAGAAAGAACAAUCUUGAAAGAUGUGUAAUAAAAUUUGACAGAGGUAGGAUCACCAUUAAUUUGCAAUUUUUUUGCUUAUCUAAAGUUCACAUUAAAAAAAAUGUUUAAUAUGUUACUUGUCAAAUUAAGAGAACGAAGCAGACUCUAAAAAGCUUACGAACCCGAGGUCACGCAGCUUGUAGCUGGAGGAGCCAAAGUUUGAACCCAUUUCUACCCAGAGCCACACCCUCGCCCUUUCAGAAAGAAGGUGCUGUUGGCUCAGAGGCUGCUGCUCAAGUCCGCCUGCCAGGACCACAGAGCUCUGCAUUCCAGAGGAAUCUCAGGGUAACUACAUGUCUGGGAAAAGCAGCUCUGUGCUCAGGGCGCCCAGGCCUUGCUCAGAAACAGGUAUUUCCAGCUCCUCCGGAGGAAGGCCGGCCUUCGUGAGACUACUCUUUAACUACAAACAGAGGCACCUCCCCUCCACCCCCAGGGAAGAGGAAGUGCCUGCUCUGAGGGACACCUUGCAGGAGGCACCCAGCACCCAGUGGUCCCACAGCAGCAGCGUGCAUAUCAGAAGCCCACCUCAAAGUGAGUGACACCAAGAGCCCAAGAGCGACAGGAAAACCACAGGAGGCUGGUGUCCAGAUACAUGGCCCAGUUGUGGCCCCUGCCCACAGCAGAAGUGCUCGUAGGGAGCACACAGCACACCAACCAACCCCACCAGGUACGGACAGGCCUGAGCAGAGCUGUUCACACAAGUUGACAGGCCAGAGCCCUGCAGAUGGAACCAGCCCUGGGAUGAACUGACCUGGGUUCGAAUCCUAGCUUCACUGCUUACUAUGACCUUGAAAAGAUUUUUGAACUUCUGCAGAACCCAGUUGGCUCACCUGGAUUCAAUGAAUUAGAAUCAUGGUUAAUACAAAAUGUGGAUUUUCUCAAAGCAUCACUGCCACGUGAAUGUAGGACAAUGAAUUUUAAAGUCUUCCUAACAUGAUAAAGAAUGGUGGUGUCUUUGAAAAACUUACAGACAAAAAAGUUAAGAAGCCGCAAGAAACUGUAUUAGCCAUUUGCUUUCCCAAGAUUAGACGUUUCAUUCAUUCCUAAAAGGGGAAUAAAAAUAUCUCACGGGGCAGUUUUUUCUAAAAGACCAGUGUAUGCCAGUACCUCACACACAGAAGUCCCCAAAGCAUGACCUCUCACCCCCGGGAAUUUUGCCUCGCAAGCAGUGAUCUAACUGAAUAGCAUCCUCGUUACAUCACACACUGUCUUCUCAUCUUAUUCUGCCUUCACGUAAUCAGACUUCCUUAUAUGGGUACUUCGCUUUACAGUCUACAGAAGGCUUACGCAGUAUCUAACAUAAGCAUCAUGACGCUUUGAAGCCCAUUUCACAGAUGAGGGGUCUGGGGCUCUGAGCUGAGUUCACAACCAGUACGCAGCAGAGGCGAGUCUCCAGGUCCUGCGGCUCCUCAGCCAACACCCUGCUUUCAGCUCCCGGCUUUGGGUUCCCAUCCAGACCACAGUCUGACUCACUCUUUCCCGACACAGAACCUGACUGUCCUCUCUCCAAAAUCAGAACAAGUCCUCACUGUAGCAGCCAUGCUCGAAGUUCCUCCUCUGUAACAGGGAGACAUUCUUUCAACAAACAUUGACAAUGCAUUCAUAUGGAAACCUCCUUGCUGUGCUCUGAGGAACAGGAAAGGAAGUGAAGCUGGCCUCCUUCCUUGUCCUCCAAGCAUCUGACAGCUGCUUGGAUGGCAGGGGCCGACUCUGCCACCGCACUCCCUGCCGUCUGAACUGGGGGAAGGCAUGGGGGACACAGUAGCUGCUGGAUGGAUUGGGCUCUGCUAGAAAUCUGUUGUGGGCAGGCCUGCUCACACCUGCUGCCCUCGGAGCAGCUAUGAAAGGGCCCCUUGGACCCAUCAGCCUGAGCUGCUCUCACUGCCACGGUCCCUCCCCUAAGAAGAGAGCUGAACAGUGUUCCCCCCACCAUCCCCCUCACCGAAUUCACAGCUACCCAGAACCUCAAAAUGAGACCUUAUUUGGAAAUAGGGUCUUUGCACACAGAAUCAGUUAAGGAUGUUGAGAUGGAAUCAUUCUGGAGUUAGGGUGGGCACUAAACUCAAUGCCCAGCAUCCCUAUAAGAAAAAGGAAAACCCAGAGUUCACACAAGGAAGAAGGCCAUGGGAAGACAGGGGCAGAGACUGCAGUGAUGCAGCUACGUGUAAGUCAAGGAACCAAGGAAUUCCGGGAGCCACCAGAAGCUGGAAAAGACAAGGAAAGCUUCUCCCCUGGAGCCUUCAGAGGGAGCACGGCCUUGAUUUCAGACGUCUGGCCUCCAGAACUUGUGGAGAAUACAUUUCUGUUGUUCUGAGCCACCAAAGUGUGUGCUAAUUUGUUACAGCAGCGCUGGGAGACGUCCUCCCCUUUCUUAAUGUCUCCAUCCAUCGGGGCUGGGAGGCAUGUGGCCUGUCCUCUCCCAGUGCUCAGCCGGCCCUCACGCUGUCACGCGGCUGUGGGCACUGAGGUGGGUGCAGCCUGGGCCGUCCUUGGUCUAAAACUUAAGCUUGAAGCGCACACACACACAUACACGCGCACACCCACCCCCACUUCCAACUUCUAAGAAUAACAUGCUGCCAAUAUAGGGCUCCAACUCCGCCUCAGAAUUGGCCGACUCCUGGGGGAGGUUUCCUUGUGGUUUGGGUUGCGAUCUCUUUAUUCUCUGGCACUGCUAAGCUGCCGUGUGAACCGUCUACUCGGCUGGCCUGGGAUGGGAGGGCUCCUGCCUGCUGCCCGAGGACCCCGCUACCCGGACCCGGGAGGCCCAGACUGGAUGAAGUCAAGAGCAUUUCCCCACCCCUCUGGACUCCCUGCUGCUUCUCACUGGACCAGGAGUCCUGUCUCCCCAUGGCUCUCUUUCAACAUUCUAGGGUAUUUUUAUUAAAGCCCUCUGGAGUGUUAAUAGAAUAAAAUGUAAAGCUGCUCCCUACUUUUUCUGUGAGCGGGGGAGUUGCUAGCAGUGACCUUCCUGCUUUGAGCGGUGCCUCCAGAGCUGGUAGAUGUCCAGGGAGUCGGGGACCACAGCAGGUCUGGGAGCACGUUCUUAUCCUGGCUUUGCCACAAAUUUUCUUGAAAAUUCACUUCCCCUCUGGGGUCCUCCCAUGAUAAAGGAGGGGCAGGCAGGGCAGGAAGGUUUGUUAGGUCCUUCCCAGGGCUGACGUUCCAAGAGGAUGAUCUCCUGUGCUGCAGAGAAGCACGUUCCCCCGUUCCUGUGCUCCUUCAUCCUCCCCCCGUCCACAGGGCACACCCGGUCCCAGCGCUGCGGAGACACUGGCAUGAAGCAGAGGGCCAGCUCCCGGGCAGUGAGGCAGACCCAGUGACGGCAGGACAGAGCAGAGCGGGCGUCACAGGUGCAGGCGUUGGCUGGAGGAGGUGAAGCAGAGAGGAGCUCCAGGAUGACCUGAAGGGCAGAGGGCGUGCCCAGGCAGCGAUGAGGUCUGCGUAGACGCUGGGUGAGGGUGGUGGGGCUGGGAUAGAGCAGGGCAGGCAGUGGUGUGUGGGCCAGAUGGUGGAGGGAGGCAGCAGGGAUCUGGGGAGGCACCAGGCAGACAGGUGCUGUGCUCCCAUCUGGCCUUCUUGACGAAGCAUCAUCUGGACACACAGGAAGUGUAGGGUGUUCUGGGGCCUCCAGGACCACCACCUCAUCUUUUCAGUUGGCUCAGAAAACUGCUAGCAGUUUUUCCAUUGUUAUUUUGAACCACAAACACUGGGGUCUGGUCUCCUCUCUAUCUGCCCUGGGGCAACAAUCAGCAAAAUCAAGAACACAGGAUCCGAGCCUGGACCCCCGGCUUUGCCACAAUGUGAUCCUCCAGCUUCGGCGCCCUGAGCGUGGGCCCUGGGGUCAAGACUCAGAGGCAGAAAGUCCUGCUGUUUCCCAGCUUCAUCUUGAGUCUGUUACUUAACUUCUCAGAGACUCAGUCUCCCUACCUCUAAAAUGGGCCCAACCACCAACUGGGCCAAUAGGCAUUUCACCUGUUUUAAGACGAGUUGAUAAAUGUUGAAAUAUCUAGCACAGGGCCCGGCUUAGGGCAGAUGCUCCAUACACAUGAGCUCCCCCUCCUCCUGUCACAAGUUUGGGGCAGGAACCGAGAUAGGCAGGAGACGGGGAGGAGGCCGCACAGAGGAGCAGCUGGGCCCAGUGGGUGGAUGGUGGGUGGUAGGCGGCAUGAUGUGAACGUUAGGGCUUCUGUCAGUUGGUCGAUGCAACCACGAAAUUUUCCUGCAGCCAGAAUCCCAGAAGCAGGAAUGCUCCUGCCGGCGAACCGGUGUGGGCUUGGGCAGCAAACAGCCUGACGUAAGUGGAUUUGGCCGGGUUGCCGAGCACAGCAGCCUCAUCAACACAGCGCUUAAGUUACUCCCAAGACUCUGUGCGUUUCUUAGCAACGGCCCUAUUUGGGGGAACACUGAGUGCCACAGGGAAGCUGGCCUGGAAACUUGUACCAGACAGGCAGCACCCCCGAUCAAUAUGCAGGGUCCCCCCUGGGGCCUGGCUCCCUCCCGGGGCAAGGUGGCCAGCCUGGAGGACCUCCACGGGGCCAGCAGCUACCCCGCAGGCCUCCAGGCGGCCCCCAGGCAAAGCCCAGUCGCCAUCUGUUGUACUUCAAACCAUCUGAGCAGCUGACAGGACACGAAAGAGAAAAAGACACCCGACAAAACACGCCAGGCCCUCAACACUCAGACUCAAGGCUGAGCACAGAAGGCCCCUCUGAGCUCACAAGACACCCCCACACGGAGUCCAGAUUAGAUGCGUCUUCAGUGGAAUUCCGCAACCUACAAAGGUGUUCUAGAAAGUUCCAGGACACAAAUGCUCGCUGGACUUUUGUUCUGUCUCCACUCUGACAGACAAGACAUCACAUUAUCUUCACGAAACUUAUUUGGGGGAAUUAAAGAGUUCUGCCAGGGCCAGGCUGGCAGGCACCGGCAGUUGAGCUCAGAUUAUGUGUUAUUAAUAUGAACAUCUUCCCGUCACGAUCGCACACUCAAUUUAAAAAGAAUUACCCAAUUAAGUUAGGAAGGUGAUGCCUUCCACUUCCAGGAAUAUGCUGCCAACAACUCUGCCUUGACUGUUCUCCCCUAAACCCCUUCCAAUUAAGUAGACCGUUCAGCACAUCGUGAGGAUAGCCAGGAUGUUGCUGUGGAGACGGCAGGAUUUUUCAUCAUAUCACCAUUUCAAUCUCCUGAUGAGAAGGGAGCUGGCAAAGCUUUCUGCCUCCCCCCAGGAUGCACGUUCACCGCCAACAACAACAAGGACAAAAGCUCUGUUGGACAGAAAAGGAUGAGGGAUUCUGGGAGCUUCCAGGUCUCCUUCUGCAGCAACCCAGAGACUCGUGGCUUCGGCUCCUCUGAGCAGGAGCAGACAGCUGGCCGCUGUGUGUCAGAGGCAGCUCUAGAGAAGGCCGUGCGGGCCCAGACGCUGAGGGUGUGACAGCGCCGGCUCAGCCAGCAGAGAGGCAUCAGUUUGUGCUAACCGGCCACAGAGAUCAGGGCUGUGGGGUCGGGGCAGUGACAUGACUGAUGUCAAGAAGAGUAAGAGGAGACAAAGGUUUUUAUUUCCAAAAUGCAAACCUGACCACGGCACUUCUUGCCGACAGCCCUUGACUGGCUCUCCAUCACCCUCGCCAUGAGUUCCAACCCUUUAGCGUGAUACCACCCCCAACUCACUCCUCCAACCUCGUCUCGCUCUCAUUCCCUAAGUAAACAAUCAAACUCUUUCAUGCCUCCCUGCCUUUGCACAUGCUGUUCCCCUCCUCUGUCUAUCCUUUCCCAACUUUUGGCAGCCUGGUAAACUUGUUCUUAUUUCUCAAGACCUGGGUCAGGUGUCUUGACCUCUUAAACUUCAAGGCUUCCCUUCUGCCUUUGCUUGCCUCCUUGAUUUUCCUGGAAGAUGCUGGACUCACGGCCAAGCCGGCACUUUGCACAAUGUACGCUCUUGCUAAGCCACUCAAGGGGACGGGCUGUAUUUUCAAAGGAAUGGCUGUAACCCCGGCAGAAAAGGCAGAGGUGAAAGAAAAGGGGAGGCCACGUCAACUGGAGACAGAUGUGCAGGUGUAUCUCAGAGACACUGUUAGGUUUGGCUCCAGACCACCGCAAAAAGCGACUAUCACAAUAAAGUGAGUCACACCAAUUUUUUUGGUUUAAUGAUGUAUAUAAAUGUUACAUUUGCACUACACUGUGGUCUGUUAAGUGUGCCACAGAUAAAAACCAUACAUGUUUCAACUAAAAAUUACUUUACCAAUAAAAAAUGCUAACCAUUA